rnacentral:rRNA from 1 species
UUAAGCGACUAAGCGUACACGGUGGAUGCCCUGGCAGUCAGAGGCGAUGAAGGACGUGCUAAUCUGCGAUAAGCGCCGGUAAGGUGAUAUGAACCGUUAUAACCGGCGAUUUCCGAAUGGGGAAACCCAGUGUGACUCGUCACACUAUCAUUAACUGAAUCCAUAGGUUAAUGAGGCGAACCGGGGGAACUGAAACAUCUAAGUACCCCGAGGAAAAGAAAUCAACCGAGAUUCCCCCAGUAGCGGCGAGCGAACGGGGAGGAGCCCAGAGCCUGAAUCAGCAUGUGUGUUAGUGGAAGCGUCUGGAAAGGCGCGCGAUACAGGGUGACAGCCCCGUACACAAAAGCGCAUGUGCUGUGAGCUCGAUGAGUAGGGCGGGACACGUGGUAUCCUGUCUGAAUAUGGGGGGACCAUCCUCCAAGGCUAAAUACUCCUGACUGACCGAUAGUGAACCAGUACCGUGAGGGAAAGGCGAAAAGAACCCCGGCGAGGGGAGUGAAAAAGAACCUGAAACCGUGUACGUACAAGCAGUGGGAGCACAGGUUUACCUGUGUGACUGCGUACCUUUUGUAUAAUGGGUCAGCGACUUAUAUUCUGUAGCAAGGUUAACCGAAUAGGGGAGCCGGAGGGAAACCGAGUCUUAAUUGGGCGUUAAGUUGCAGGGUAUAGACCCGAAACCCGGUGAUCUAGCCAUGGGCAGGUUGAAGGUUGGGUAACACUAACUGGAGGACCGAACCGACUAAUGUUGAAAAAUUAGCGGAUGACCUGUGGCUGGGGGUGAAAGGCCAAUCAAACCGGGAGAUAGCUGGUUCUCCCCGAAAGCUAUUUAGGUAGCGCCUCGUGAAUUCAUCUCCGGGGGUAGAGCACUGUUUCGGCUAGGGGGCCAUCCCGGCUUACCAACCCGAUGCAAACUGCGAAUACCGGAGAAUGUUAUCACGGGAGACACACGGCGGGUGCUAACGUCCGUCGUGAAGAGGGAAACAACCCAGACCGCCAGCUAAGGUCCCAAAGUCAUGGUUAAGUGGGAAACGAUGUGGGAAGGCCCAGACAGCCAGGAUGUUGGCUUAGAAGCAGCCAUCAUUUAAAGAAAGCGUAAUAGCUCACUGGUCGAGUCGGCCUGCGCGGAAGAUGUAACGGGGCUAAACCAUGCACCGAAGCUGCGGCAGCGANNUGCUGGAGGUAUCAGAAGUGCGAAUGCUGACAUAAGUAACGAUAAAGCGGGUGAAAAGCCCGCUCGCCGGAAGACCAAGGGUUCCUGUCCAACGUUAAUCGGGGCAGGGUGAGUCGACCCCUAAGGCGAGGCCGAAAGGCGUAGUCGAUGGGAAACGGGUUAAUAUUCCCGUACUUGGUGUUACUGCGAAGGGGGGACGGAGAAGGCUAUGUUGGCCGGGCGACGGUUGUCCCGGUUUAAGCGUGUAGGUGUGUGUUCCAGGUAAAUCCGGUUCACUUUAACACUGAGGCGUGACGACGAGGCACUACGGUGCUGAAGCAACAAAUGCCCUGCUUCCAGGAAAAGCCUCUAAGCAUCAGGUAACAUCAAAUCGUACCCCAAACCGACACAGGUGGUCAGGUAGAGAAUACCAAGGCGCUUGAGAGAACUCGGGUGAAGGAACUAGGCAAAAUGGUGCCGUAACUUCGGGAGAAGGCACGCUGACAUGUAGGUGAAGUGAUUUACUCAUGGAGCUGAAGUCAGUCGAAGAUACCAGCUGGCUGCAACUGUUUAUUAAAAACACAGCACUGUGCAAACACGAAAGUGGACGUAUACGGUGUGACGCCUGCCCGGUGCCGGAAGGUUAAUUGAUGGGGUCAGCGCAAGCGAAGCUCCUGAUCGAAGCCCCGGUAAACGGCGGCCGUAACUAUAACGGUCCUAAGGUAGCGAAAUUCCUUGUCGGGUAAGUUCCGACCUGCACGAAUGGCGUAAUGAUGGCCAGGCUGUCUCCACCCGAGACUCAGUGAAAUUGAACUCGCUGUGAAGAUGCAGUGUACCCGCGGCAAGACGGAAAGACCCCGUGAACCUUUACUAUAGCUUGACACUGAACAUUGAGCCUUGAUGUGUAGGAUAGGUGGGAGGCUUUGAAGCGUGGACGCCAGUCUGCGUGGAGCCGACCUUGAAAUACCACCCUUUAAUGUUUGAUGUUCUAACGUGGACCCGUAAUCCGGGUUGCGGACAGUGUCUGGUGGGUAGUUUGACUGGGGCGGUCUCCUCCUAAAGAGUAACGGAGGAGCACGAAGGUUGGCUAAUCCUGGUCGGACAUCAGGAGGUUAGUGCAAUGGCAUAAGCCAGCUUGACUGCGAGCGUGACGGCGCGAGCAGGUGCGAAAGCAGGUCAUAGUGAUCCGGUGGUUCUGAAUGGAAGGGCCAUCGCUCAACGGAUAAAAGGUACUCCGGGGAUAACAGGCUGAUACCGCCCAAGAGUUCAUAUCGACGGCGGUGUUUGGCACCUCGAUGUCGGCUCAUCACAUCCUGGGGCUGAAGUAGGUCCCAAGGGUAUGGCUGUUCGCCAUUUAAAGUGGUACGCGAGCUGGGUUUAGAACGUCGUGAGACAGUUCGGUCCCUAUCUGCCGUGGGCGCUGGAGAACUGAGGGGGGCUGCUCCUAGUACGAGAGGACCGGAGUGGACGCAUCACUGGUGUUCGGGUUGUCAUGCCAAUGGCACUGCCCGGUAGCUAAAUGCGGAAGAGAUAAGUGCUGAAAGCAUCUAAGCACGAAACUUGCCCCGAGAUGAGUUCUCCCUGAGACUUAAAGUCUCCUGAAGGAACGUUGAAGACGACGACGUUGAUAGGCCGGGUGUGUAAGCGCAGCGAUGCGUUGAGCUAACCGGUACUAAUGAACCGUGAGGCUUAACCUU